UUUUCUUCUUUUGUAAAUUUCCUGUUAUUUUUACAGGAAUUUGCCAAGAUCUUUUACAAGGUCUUAAAAGAUAUUUUUGAUAACAAGUGUUCUGUGAUCAAAUAAACUUGGAAAACAAUGACUUAUACAAAAUUAACAGCAUUACUAAAGUUAUGCUGUCAUAAUUUGCAAAAAUGUCCCUUAAGAAUAUUAACUUUCCCUUGUUCUAUGCUUAUCAAAAACCUGAUUUGCAUUUUAAUAUUCUGAAGAGAUACAUGUAAGUAGUCCUGGCUCUCAGGUGGUAUUUUAUUUGGUGUGAGAUAUGUAAAUUUUACCCAAGUGAAUGGACCUUCAAGGCUUGCCCCCCUUCCCCUCUGAUAUUCCUCUACCUCCUGGCCCCACCAACGAAUAAACUGAGAAGAUGUUUCUAAAUCUGCAUUUCCAAGGACUAGACCCACAACUCUGAGACUUACCCAAUGUCUGACCACCCAGCGAGGCCUGCCCUUUGAGAGCCAAAUAGACUAGUUUUAUUGCAUCUGUGAAACUGGUCUAGGCAUGAUGCUCAAGAAUUCUUAACCAUAGGCACCUCCUAGUGUGUUUGCAGUGUAUGCACACUGCAACACUGAGCAGUUGAGCUCAUUCACACAUGCUUUUAUCAUGCUUAAUUUGCAUUAAAAUAUUUUCGUGUUUGAUUUCUGCAGUCUCAGGAACUGAAAAAGAUGUGCAUAUUCUGGAGUUGUCUUCUAAAUUUGCAAAAAGGGUUAAAAAACAUAUAGAAGAAAUGUGUCAACUGUACACAUGAAGAAGGAAGCAAACUACGUAGUAGGAGAUAUGAUUAAAUGAGUUUUUCAAAGGAGAAGACUGAAAACCAGAAAUGCUGAGUGAUACCUCAGAGGUGACGUAACUAGUUAGUAGCAGAGUUGGGGCCAUAUACCAGUGUUGUUGAUUCUGUAGAACUAACUGCUUUCUGUAUUAUUCCAACUCAUUCUUCCUUGUAUGGAUGGGAUGGAACUGACUGUUCAGUUCAUCAUAUGUGCCUCCUCCUCCAUUUUGGAGGGAUCAAGAAAAAGACUAAGCCUUCUAUAAUCUAACUGUGAUUAUCAAAUUUCCCCAUCUGCUAGGAGACAGUUGUUUCUGGUAAAGACAUUUAAAAUACAAUUAUUAAUUUUUUAAAUUAACAAUUUCAGUUAAGAUGCCUCUUCCAAUGUAAUUUUAUUCUAAUGAUCUUCUCUCUCAGGUGCAUCUCUUUGGCUCCAGUAAAGACAAUACAGACCAUGGUCAGAACUGCUAAAAUGAAAACUCUUCCAUCACUAAUUUCUCAAAGUGAGAGAAAACAUCAUGGGACCACAGGGGAUGGAAAACCCAUUCUUUUACUCACGUGUUGGAGGCGCCCAAUGCUACUGCCGCAAUGCCUGCAAGGCCUCCCACUACACCAGUCAGGAACUUGUAUCCAAUCACAGAGACCGCUCCUGCAAUGCUCCCAAGGGUCAUAGAACCGAAUGGGUGAAUUGCCAUAUCCGCACAAGUGCCCACGGCAACUCCUCCAGCAAGGGUGGCAUUCUGAAUGUGAACCUGCGUGAGCAGCAGAAACAUAAAUGAGGCAAGCUGGAUGACGGAGAAUUCAGAAGGAUCAGAGGAUUCUAGAGUACAAGAGACCCAUAUCACAUUCUUCAGCUGAAAGGGCUAUUGGUUCUUUUUUAAAAAGAGGGUUGUUUGGAUUUAUAGAAGGCCUUUUUUUCAAGAAGGUGACAUUUGGUAUCUUUCUUGCCAGUCCCUUGGUAGUGAAUGAGUCAUCAGUUUAACUCAUUAAGGCCAGUGGUGGAAGGCAUUUGAGAAAAUCAAAAGAUGUUGUAGUGGGAGGGUAGGAGUGUUUAGAGUAAAUAUUCUCGCAAUGUUUUGUCUAUUUGUGCAGUUUUGGGAACACAUUUGUGGUUAUCAUGAGCCAAAAGAUGACUAUGGCCACCGUGUGUUUUGUAGUCUAUGAUAUUCCAAUAUUCAAAGAGGAAAUGUAGAGACGUUGAAAUGUACACAUUACAUAUGAAAGACAAUAGUUUUUGCAAAUGUCACUGGAUUGAGGACGUUUGAGGAUGAAGGAAAGAGGAAUUGAUUUUUUUUUUUUUUUUGAGAUGGAGUCUUGCUCUGUCUCCUAGGCUGGAGAGAAGUGGCCUGAU